rnacentral:RNase_P_RNA from 1 species
AAUGGCCGCAGCUGCAAGACCGAAAGGCUGCAGAUGAGGAAAGUCCGGGCUUCACAGGGCAGGAUGCCAGAUAACGUCUGGCGGAGGCGACUCCAGGGACAGUGCAACAGAAAUAUACCGCUGCUUUGCAGUAAGGGUGGAAAGGUGGUGUAAGAGACCACCGCUUUCCUGGUAACAGGAAGGGUCCAUGUAAACCCCAUCCGAAGCAAGACCGAACAGAGAGCUUAAGGCGGCCCGUCUGCUCUCGGGUAGGUCGCUUGAGCCUGUCGGCGACGGCAGGCCUAGAUAGAUGGCCAUUCACGACAUAACCCGGCUUAUCGUCUUGCUCA